AGCCGGAUAGCUCAGUUGGAAGAGCAUCGGAUUGAUAAUGGGAAGGUUCCGGGUUCAAAUCCCGGUCUGGACA